UGAAGAAUUGUGUUUCUGAACUGGAGAGAAAUUCAGGCAGUUAUCAUCCAUCGCCAGAGAAGAAUGACAGAUGGAUUUUGAAAAUAGACCAUCCCUUUUAAAUCUUGAUCUUUGUGAAAACUACAAAGGCUACAAAGCAGGAAUUUUUGAAAAUUUAUAAUCCUACCCAGGUAGGGAGAACAGAGAGAAGCUAGAAGGCAGAGGGACAGAUGGUGCGUACCUGCCUUCGGAACUCAGAGGUGCCAAAACCCUGUUUGAAUAGGGGAAAAUUGAGAAAUGACAGAGUUGAUACUGUGAAGUUCUCAACAAACAAACAAAAACAAAACCCUCAGGAAAGGGCAGUUCCAAUUCUGGGGAUGGAAGGUGAAGAAGAAGACUGGGAGAAAACUGUUUGAGAAGUACCAUAGUUAGUAGCUCACGGAACCCUGCCUGAUUUCCUUCUGGCUGGGCAGCCGUCCCUCCUGCAUCCCAGAAGUCUGAGUGUUGUUUUCUAGGAAGGCUGAAAUAUAGGAAUCUGGGCUGAGGGCUGCGGGCAUAGCUGAAGGCCCAGGAAACAUUCUGAAAACCGGUAGAUAAAAGAGAACAUUUGCAUCUGCGUCUGACUGCUGAGAGCCUCCCUCCCCUUCCCAACUAGCCUCCUAGAAAGGGAUGAAUGGCUUGACCAUCCAUACUGGAGAUGAAAGAAUCUUCUCAUCUUCUUUUAGGGAGUUUGAGGAUCACAAGAGGAAAGACCAAAAGAUAUAGACAUUGACCCCCUCCACAGGUUGAAGGGCUCCCUCCCAUGAGGCUCCCAUUUGGCAAGCUGGCUGACACAGCUGCUUAAUCUCUCACUUUUAAAUCUGAUCAGAUCUGACAACCCAGGAAAGUGUCAAACAGAGUAAAAAGA
rnacentral:lncRNA from 1 species